UAACCGUUUACCUCCCUGCCAUGAAGGACAGCAGAGAAGAGGCCCCAGCCGCUGCCCAGCCCUGCCCACAGCCUUGGUGUUCCUGAUCCAGCACAUUGCCAUUCUCCUCGCCCCAGCCACCAGCCAAGGAGGCUGGAAGAUCAAUCAAGCUCCAACCACUGGGCGUCCCAUCACAGGUGGUUUUACUGCUAAGGUUGGUGUUGCUGUUUGUGCCAGGGGUUCUGUUCAAAACCAAGCUCUUAGAAGAAUUUGGAGGAAAUUAUGACUGCAACCAUGUCUUUAAGCAGCUAACCCUGGAGAGAGAACAGACCAAGCUAAACAUUAACCACUGCUGCUGGUAGGCCUCUGACAGCACAGGGUAGUGAGCCAGUCUUUCAGAAACCAGCUAGCUGGGUUCAAAACCAAGCCCAUCAUGUAGAAGCUAUGUGACCUUGAAGAAGUUAAUUAGACUCUCUGAACCUUUGUUUCUUUAUCCACCAAUAAAAAUAACCUCACCUCCCUCCCAGGGUUGUAGGUCCAAGUGUAUAAUGUACAAAUGAAUAAAUUAAGACAGUCUUACUCCUGUUGUCAUUCCCUUUUCAUUGAAAAGACAUUGAGUACAAAUGAAUAGAUGCUAUCCAAAGAGGGCACGUUCAGUUCCUGGACCCUGGUCACUUUGCCCCUUUCCGUGGU